GAUGAACGCUGGCGGCGUGCCUAAUACAUGCAAGUCGAGCGAACGGACGAGAAGCUUGCUUCUCUGAUGUUAGCGGCGGACGGGUGAGUAACACGUGGAUAACCUACCUAUAAGACUGGGAUAACUUCGGGAAACCGGAGCUAAUACCGGAUAAUAUUUUGAACCGCAUGGUUCAAAAGUGAAAGACGGUCUUGCUGUCACUUAUAGAUGGAUCCGCGCUGCAUUAGCUAGUUGGUAAGGUAACGGCUUACCAAGGCAACGAUGCAUAGCCGACCUGAGAGGGUGAUCGGACACACUGGAACUGAGACACGGUCCAGACUCCUACGGGAGGCAGCAGUAGGGAAUCUUCCGCAAUGGGCGAAAGCCUGACGGAGCAACGCCGCGUGAGUGAUGAAGGUCUUCGGACCGUAAAACUCUGUUAUUAGGGAAGAACAUAUGUGUAAGUAACUGUGCACAUCUUGACGGUACCUAAUCAGAAAGCCACGGCUAACUACGUG
rnacentral:rRNA from 1 species